ACACAAACCCCGAGAAAGCAUUCCUGGAAAUCUCGGCCCAAAAAAGGACGUUUAGUAAUUCUAAAAGGGACUACAGGAUGAAAAACAAUAGUUUUGGCAGUUAAAGUUUGAGAUUCGAUAAUGCCGUAGAUCCGUUUGGUCAUCAGGUGUAACGAGCCACACCCAUGUCUGGUUAGAGUAGUGUGCUAGGCUCAGACUAGAUAAGAAACGGGGAACAAACUGAUGAAAGAAUGAUCAUACCGAGCGAAUUCACUCAGAACUAACAAGAAUGAUAACAUGCUCCGACUGGAGCGGUUUAGGAACUGCUGGAAGGCUCUAGGGGAAUAAAGAUGGAAUGACUUCUAAUUUUUAGGUCCGUAUGAUUUGAAAUACUUGCACACAAACCACGCGAAAGCGUUCCUGGAAAUCUCAGCCCAAAAAAGGACGUUUAGUAAUUCUAAAAGGGACUACAGGAUGAAAAACAAUAGUUUUGGCAGUUAAAGUUUGAGAUUCGACAGUGCCGUAGAUCCGUUUGGUCAUCAGGUAUUACGAGCCACACCCAUGUCUAGCUAGAAUAGUGUGCUAGGCUCAGGCUAGAGAAGAAACGGGGAACAAACUGAUGAAAGAAUGAUCAAACCGAGGGAAUUCACUCAGAACUAACAAUAAUGAUAACGUGCUCCGACUGGUGCGGUUUAGGAACUGCUGGAAGGCUCUAGGGGAAUAAAGAUGGAAUGACUUCUAAUUUUUAGGUCCGUAUGAUUUGAAAUACUUGCACACAAACCGCGCGAAAGCGUUCCUGGAAAUCUCAGCCCAAAAAAGGACGUUUAGUAAUUUUAAAAGGGACUAUAGGAUGAAAAACAAUAGUUUUGGCAAUUAAAGUUUGAGAUUCGACGGUGUCGUAGAUCCGUUUGGUCAUCAGGUGUUACGAGCCACACCCAUGUCUAGCUAGAAUAGUAUGUCAGGCUCAGGUUAGAGUAGAAACGGGGAACAAACUGAUGAAAGAAUGAUCAUACCAAGGGAAUUCACUCAGAACUAUCAAGAAUGAUAACGUGCUCCGACUGGAGUGAUUUAGGAACUGCUGGAAGGCUCUAGGGGAAUAAAGAUGGAAUGACUUCUAAUUUUUACGUCCGUAUGAUUUGAAAUACUUGCACACAAAUCACGCAAAAGCGUUCCUGGAAAUCUCAGCCUAAAAAAGGACGUUUAGUAAUUCUAAAAGGGACUACAGGAUGAAAAACAAUAGUUUGGGCAGUUAAAAUUUGAGAUUCGACGGUGCCGUAGAUCCGUUUGGUCAUCAGGUGUUACGAGCGACACCCUUGUCUAGCUAGAAUAGUGUGUUAGGCUCAGACUAGAGAAGAAACGGGGAACAAAGUGAUGAAAGAAUGAUCAUACCGAGGGAAUUCACUCAGAACUAACAAGAAUGAUAACGUGCUCCGACUGGAGCGGUUUAGUAACUGCUGGAAGGCUCUAGGGGAAUGAAGAUGGAAUGACUUCUAAUUUUUAGGUCCGUAUGAUUUGAAAUACAUGCACACAAACCCUGAGAAAGCGUUCCUGGAAAUCUCGGUCGAAAAAAGGAUGUUUAAUAAUUCUAAAAGGGACUACCGGAUGAAAAACAAUAGUUUUGGCAGUUAAAGUUUGUGAUUCGAUGGUGCCGUAGAUCUGUUUGGUCAUCAGGUGUUACGAGCCACACCCAUGUCUAUCUAGAAUAGUGUGUUAGGCUCAGGCUAGAGCAGAAACGGGGAACAGACUUAUGAAAGAAUGAUCAUACCGAGGGAAUUCACUCAGAACUAACAAGAAUGAUAACGUGCUCCGACUGGCGCGGUUUAGGAACUGCUGGAAGGCUCUAGGGGAAUAAAGAUGGAAAGACUUCUAAUUUUUAGGUCCGUAUGAUUUGAAAUACUUGCACACAAACCGCACGAAAGCGUUCCUGGAAAUCUCAGCCUAAAAAGGAUGUUUAGUAAUUCUAAAAGGGACUACAAGAUGAAAAAUAAUAGUUUGGGCAGUUAAAAUUUGAGAUUCGACGAUGCCGUAGAUCCGUUUGGUCAUCAGGUGUUAUGAGCCACACCCAUGUCUAGCUAGAAUAGUGUGUUAGGCUCAGGCUAGAGAAGAAACGGGGAACAAACUGAUGAAAGAAUGAUCAUACCGAGGGAAUUCACUCAGAACUAACAAGAAUGAUAACGUGCUCCGACUGGAGCAGUUUAGAAACUGCUGGAAGGCUCUAAUGGAAUAAAGAUGGAAUGCCUUCAAAUUUCUAGGUCCGUAUGAUUUGAAAUACUUGCACACAAACCGCUCGAAAGCGUUCCUGGAAAUCUCAGCCCAAAAAAGGACGUUUAGUAAUUCUAAAAGGGACUACAGGAUGAAAAACAAUAGUUUUGGCAGUUAAAGUUUGAGAUUCGAUGGUGCCGUAGAUCCGUUUGGUCAUCAGGUGUAACGAGCCACACACAUGUCUAGCUAGAGUAGUGUGCUAGGCUCAGACUAGAGAAGAAACGGGGAACAAAGUGAUGAAAGAAUGAUCAUACCGAGGGAAUUCACUCAGAACUUACAAGAAUGAUAACGUGCUCCGACUGGAGCGCUUUAGUAACUGCUGGAAGGCUCUAGGCGAAUAAAGAUGGAAUGACUUCUAAUUUUUAGGUCCGUAUGAUUUGAAAUACUUGCACACAAACCACGCAAAACCGUUCCUAGAAAUCUCGGUCGAAAAAAGGACGUUUAGUAAUUCUAAAAGGGACUACAGGAUGAAAAACAAUAGUUUUGGCAGUUAAAGUUUGAGAUUCGAUGGUGCCGUAGAUCCGUUUGGUCAUCAGGUGUUACGAGCCACACCCAUGUCUAGCUAGAGUAGUGUGCUAGGUUCAGACUAGAGAAGAAACGGGGAACAAA
rnacentral:lncRNA from 1 species